rnacentral:rRNA from 1 species
GGGGAAUAUUGCACAAUGGGGGAAACCCUGAUGCAGCGACGCCGCGUGGAGGAAGAAGGUCUUCGGAUUGUAAACUCCUGUUGUUGAGGAAGAUAAUGACGGUACUCAACAAGGAAGUGACGGCUAACUACGUGCCAGCAGCCGCGGUAAAACGUAGGUCACAAGCGUUGUCCGGAAUUACUGGGUGUAAAGGGAGCGCAGGCGGGCAGACAAGUUGGAAGUGAAAUCCAUGGGCUCAACCCAUGAACUGCUUUCAAAACUGUAUGUCUUGAGUAGUGCAGAGGUAGGCGGAAUUCCCGGUGUAGCGGUGGAAUGCGUAGAUAUCGGGAGGAACACCAGUGGCGAAGGCGGCCUACUGGGCACCAACUGACGCUGAGGCUCGAAAGUGUGGGUAGCAAACAGGAUUAGAUACCCUGGUAGUCCACACCGUAAACGAUGAUUACUAGGUGUUGGAGGAUUGACCCCUUCAGUGCCGCAGUUAACACAAUAAGUAAUCCACCUGGGGAGUACGACCGCAAGGUUGAAACUCAAAGGAAUUGACGGGGGCCCGCACAAGCAGUGGAGUAUGUGGUUUAAUUCGACGCAACGCGAAGAACCUUACCAAGUCUUGACAUCCUGCGACGCACAUAGAAAUAUGUGUUUCCUUCGGGACGCAGAGACAGGUGGUGCAUGGUUGUCGUCAGCUCGUGUCGUGAGAUGUUGGGUUAAGUCCCGCAACGAGCGCAACCCUUAUGGUCAGUUACUACGCAAGAGGACUCUGGCCAGACUGCCGUUGACAAAACGGAGGAAGGUGGGGAUGACGUCAAAUCAUCAUGCCCUUUAUGACUUGGGCUACACACGUACUACAAUGGCGUUAAACAAAGAGAAGCAAGACCGCGAGGUGGAGCAAAACUCAGAAACAACGUCCCAGUUCGGACUGCAGGCUGCAACUCGCCUGCACGAAGUCGGAAUUGCUAGUAAUCGCAGAUCAGCAUGCUGCGGUGAAUACGUUCCCG